rnacentral:rRNA from 1 species
UACGAAGGGGGCUAGCGUUGCUCGGAAUCACUGGGCGUAAAGCGACCGGUCAGGCGGCCUGACAAGUCGGAUGUGAAAGCCCUGGGCUCAACUCAGGGAAUUGCAUUCGAAACUGGUAAGGCUCGAGUACGGGAGAGGGGGGUGGAAUUCCUGGUGUAGGGGUGAAAUUCGUUGAUAUCAAGGAGGAACACCGGCGGCGAAGGCGGCCCCUGGCCCGCAACUGACGCUCAUGGUCGAAAGCGUGGGGAGCAAACAGG